AGCUCCAGGAGGUUUACUCCUUCCUUCAUUAAGUACCUGGCAACAAAAAUGCUGUGUUCUGCACACUCUGCAAGAGUUCAGUUUUGGUUGUGUGGAAAUGUGGAUAUAAAAGAUCAUAUUAAGAGGGCCAAACAUAAGCGGUGCCUACAAAUGAGAAAUAGCACCAUGGCAACCUACACCAGCGGGGCAAACGCUGGUGACAGCCAUCUGAAUACUCUCGACUAUCUUCACUCGAAAACAACAACAUCUCCGGAAUCAAUUUUCUUUUAGCCAUGGCAUCCAUCAUCCCACCUUGAGACUGCUUCAACUCCACAAAUUGUGUUUUAAUAACUUUUUAAUGGGACAAAAAUGCAUUAAACUCUAUCUUCA